rnacentral:sRNA from 1 species
CCGCCUUCCCCCCUUCGUCCGCUCUCAUUGGCUCUCCUGAGUGGCUGAGCUCCCUUCGGGCCCAUGUUGUGCGCACUGGCAUUGGACGAGCCCGGGCAGAACUCUUUGAGGAGCAGAUUAUUCAGCAUGGUGGCCAGCUAUGCCCUGCCCAGGGCCCAGGUGUCACUCACAUUGUGGUGGAUGAAGGCAUGGACUAUGAGCGAGCCCUCCGCCUUCUCAGACUACCCCAGCUGCCCCCAGGUGCUCAGCUGGUGAAGUCAGCCUGGCUGAGCUUGUGCCUUCAGGAGAGGAGACUGGUGGAUGUAGCUGGAUUCAGCAUCUUCAUCCCCAGUAGGUACUUGGACCAGCCACAGCCCAGCAAGGCAGAGCAGGAUGCUUCUAUUCCUCCUGGCACCCAUGAGGCCCUGCUUCAGACAGCCCUUUCUCCUCCUCCUCCUCCCCAAAAGGCAAAAGAGGCACCAAACACCCAAGCCCAGCCCAUCUCUGAUGAUGAAGCCAGUGAUGGGGAAGAAACCCAGGUUAGCGCAGCUGAUCUGGAAGCCCUCAUCAGUGGCCACUACCCCACCUCCCUUGAGGGAGAUUGUGAGCCUAGCCCAGCCCCU